UAGGGACAGACGGGGGCAUCCGUACUGUGCCGUGAGAGGUAAAAUUCUUAGAUCGGCGCAAGACGAACGACUGCGAAAGCAUUUGCCAAGAAUGUUUUCUUU
rnacentral:ncRNA from 1 species